rnacentral:sRNA from 1 species
UUGGUGGAUAUACACCUUUAUCAAGAAUAUUUUCCUCAGAAUAGCUGGUUCCCUGUUCGAAUUCUUGAUCGGGUUGUCUCUCCCGAAUGGGUGCGUAUAAAGCAGCAUCCGAUCCACAAGGAGAGCCGUAGUUUCCAUCAAACAGCAUGUGAUGAGCAACUGCUGCUCUUUUCAUCGGCUUGCCUGGAUUACGAUGCAUAUUCACGGAAGAAGCAGGGAGGAAUCGCGUUUUGUCGUGUCAAUCUAUCGCAAUUUCAAUCGCGCAACAAUUGAAACGGAUAGCAAAAUAGUGCUACAUUAGAAUUUCGCCCCUCUUCUCGGAAUCGGGAGGGGAGGAUUUCGGCGAGAGGUGACAUUCUGCGUACGCUGUAGAUACUUCGUCAUUACCCCGAAGGAUGGCGC